rnacentral:lncRNA from 12 species
GGGGGGGGGGGGGGGGACAGGGCAAUGUCCUUAGGACCCCCUUCCUUCCAGCGUUUUAGGAGCCGCACACCAAGUUCGGGAUUUGGCAUUUGCCAAAUGUGCUGAUUUCUUUUUUUUUUUUCUUUCCCUUUCGGUUUGUUUUGUUUUGUUUGUUUGUUUGUUUGUUUGUUUGUUUUAGGGGAGCUGCAAGUGACAGAGCAGAGGGACGGCCGACUGGCCCAGCCAAUCCUGGAGCCGCUGCAGUACUUGUGGUGCAAGGACAGAGAGGAGGGGGCUGCUGGCUCGCUGGCUCGCAGGCUCACAGGCCCUCCGGGGCCGGGGCCCCCUUGCCGGUCCCCCGUGGGAAGGGCGGCCUGGCACCUGAGGUGGCGUGGACGGAGGCGGCCGCGGGCCGGGGUGGUGAUGGUGCUGCAGCCCCUCCCUGCUGCCCGGCGUGGGAAGAAGAAUGCAGAGCCAGAACAAGCUUCAAGGCUCUUCCCAUGUGACUUCACGACUUUACUCAUUAGCAGCGAAGGCAUGACUGGAGCUUUACGGUUUGGGGGAAGAAGAGGCAAUGAGAAUGGCAGCAGGGCAGAAGCCAAGGGAAGCCGGGCAGCAUUGGAGAUGGACAGUUACUCCCCUGGGUGCACUUGACGUCUGUCCCCCAGGUCACUUCUCAGUGUUGUUUGUCCACUGACCCACACACUCCAUUUCCAUGUGUUCUGGUGAGACCGAGAUAAUUUUGGAUGAGCCCAAGCCAGUUAGGAAGGUAACUCCACUUAGGGGAGUAAAUACAAAUGAUGUUGGGGUUAUUGGGGUUACCCGUUUUGUGUUUUAACUCAGAGUUUGCUGUCUCCCUUGGUUGGUGGAAUUCACUGGAAGAUGGAUUAGUUGGCUGAUCCUGAUGUCCCUGGAGUUCAGGUUCACUGCUUCCCUUAUUCUCAAGUACAGGACGAAGAUGAUGACUGUGGGCUCAGGAACCAGGUUCUAGAUCACUGCUCGCUGGGCAGGCAACUAGGGCAGUUGAAACCAAAAGCCUCCCGAGUCCUAGUCAAUGAUGGUAAACAUCUGAAUGCAAUGAACAAAUGAGGGUGCGAAUAUUUAGAAAGUCACACCCCAUAAAGAACCUCCGGGUAAGCCCCGCUUGCUCAUCCCAGCCACAGGCCUGAGCACACCCAGGGUCACAUCCUCUUAUUCCAUGAUCAGCUGAAGUCACUUCCUUAUGUACCCAAGGCUGCCCACACCCAGCCACUAUUUCCUGCCCUGGGUCAGGAAGUGCCCAUCACCCCUUUCAUAACUUCUUGGUAGCUUGUAGUCAUCUCCCAGCACGCUGAGCCUUCUUCCAGCUUAGCUACCAUCUUGCUUUCCCAAUCUUGUGCUUGUUUUGGGAUCCUUGGCUUCUGCUUGGACUUUGGCUUCCAGGCCCGAUUGACUUCAGUUGCCCAGCAGCCACUGGAAAUUUCAGCCCUGGGGUUGCUGAUUUAGAGCUGUGUGCGCGCUCAGGCUUGGUUUUCACUCCCUUCAGCCCUGCUCCUACCGCUUCUGUGUCAUGUUAAAAAAUCUUAUUUCUCAUAAAAAUUACUCCGUCUUACCACAUGUAUCUAUAAAACCCAAAUACAUUUUCAGACUCAGUCACACAGAACAUAAAGAUUGAUAAGUUAAUUCAGAGUUUUAAAAACAUGUUAACUUUAUAGGCUUCGGAAGUUUGGUAGAGUAACCUCUCUGCCAUUUGCUAAAGGCAAUGGGAAGGUGAUCAGAAAUGUUUAUGUGUCUUUUCUAUUUCGUGAGUGUAGAUAGUAGAUAGAAAAAUCUCUUGGUGUUAGAGCAACAACUCAUUAGGAUAAAAGUUCAUUUUUCCUAGGGUUUUUUUUGUUUUGUUUUGUUUUUAAUCUUGCUAGCUAUUUUUUUAGUAUAUUUUUCUUUGAUAGAUACCACACAUACAGAAAAGCAAACAGUCCAAACACCUUAUCAUAAAGUGUUUAUAGCCUAUAACCAACAUCCAGGCCAAGCAAAGAAAUAGAAGAUUAUUAGAGCCCCCGCCGAAAACGCCUUGUCCUUCUUUCCAGUUACUAACCUCCCUUCCAAGGGUAGACACUAUUUUGACUACUAAAAUUUACAGAUCAGUUUGGCCUGCUUUUCAACUUUAUAUAAAUGGACAUUCUCUUUUGUGCCUGGCUUCUUUCACCCGUCAUUUUGUUUGUGACAUUCAUCCACAUUGUAUGUUAUUGCCGUUUUCCAUCCUGCGGGCUGUGUAGUAUUCCAUGUUAUUAAUAGACCACAAUUUAUUAUCAUCGUAUGGUUGAUGAUGUUUGGACUGUGUGGAUAUACACCUAGGAAAAGAACUGCUGCAUCAUAGUUUCAGAAGAUCGUGCCAGAGUGGUUGGACCAAUUAUAUUCCCACUAGCCGCCUAGGAAAGUUCUGGCUCCUCCAUGGCUUUGUCAGUAUCUGGUACUAUAUUCCUUUUCCAUCGUACUCAUGCUGGUGGGCAUGAAGGCGUGUUGUACUCUGCUCUGAAUUUGCACUUUUCCUGAAGCUGGCCAUUUCAAUAUCCUCUUGGGAAGGGACUGUUCAGGUCUUUCGCCCUUUUUCUAUUGGGUUGCCUGUCUUUUUCUCAUUGGUUUGUAGGAAGCUCUUCAUAUAUUGUUGAAUAUUUGUAUUGUAGAUAUUUUCAUCCUUUACCAGCAUUUGGUGCCCAUAUCUUUAGUGAUAUCCCCAAGGUUAAGCCACGUGAAGGCUUUGGGAUUAUGUGUAAAAGUCUGUACAGAGGUCUUUUAUUCUUUGUUAGGGAUGCUGGGCUUGUGGCUUCAUUCUGUCAAUACUCCCCUCCAAAGGCAUUGUUGGAAUGUUAGUUAUGAGGGGUGGGAUGGAGACUUUUGAAGUUCUUGGAAUACUUAGGUGCCGGCACCUUUGGGAUCCCCUAAAAAUAAAGAUUGUGAUAUCCAGGUGCCUGCUAUGUGC